rnacentral:rRNA from 1 species
AUAAUCAUUUGGCCUUUAAAUGGGGUCUUGGAUGAAAGGACUAACGAAUAUUGACUGUCUUAAAUAAACUUUAGCAAAAUUACUUAAAAGGUGAAAAUUCCUUUAGCUUAUCAUAACAGACGAGAAGACCCUUAGAAUUUAAAUUAUAAUAGAAAAAUUAUCUAUAAUAUUUUUGUUGGGGCAACAUUGUAGCAAGAGUAAUUAAUCUACACGAGCACAUUUUUAUUUCCGCCGACAACUAGUAUGAACAUGUAAAUUACCUUAGGGAUAACAGCAUAAUUUAUUAAAGAUUGU